GGAGUUGGUUUUGUGUAUGAUGUAAAAAACAGCCUAUUGGGGAAGAAAACAGCAGCUGUUGAACUAAUAAAAGCAAGGCUGUCUGAAAAGCCUAAUGACCCUAGAUUAUGGUUUGUUGAUGAGCCUUUUUAUGAUCCAUUUUAUAGUUACUUCUCAUUUCAGUUAAAUCCAUUGUUGAUGUCACUUAUUGCAAUCUAGGGGUAAUUGUUCAUUGGAUGUAAGGAUAUUGUCAGAAGAAAAUGAAACCUUUUAAUUUUAUCUUUUACUUGCUGUAGCCGAUUUAAAAGCUCACUGUGCGUUCUUACUGAUUGCUUUUGGUCUAGCAUUCGAGUCAGUGGAUUUUAUACUAUUCUGACAUUUAUUGUUAGUCUUCUGACGGUUCUGCACCUGGGUCCUAUAUUAUCUUCAGCAGUAUUAUCUAAAAGAUAAGUUUUUGCUGAAGAAUAUUUGCAUUCUAAACUAGAAAAGGAGGGGCCGCCCGGGAGGGGUGUGUGAAGGAAGCAUCAGGAGGCUGUUUUCCAGUUAUCCUCUUCCCUGCCUGCAUUUUAGAUGAUUCUGAUGCACCAGGUGCCGUGAAAUGGUUGAGAAAUACAUACCAUCAAGUGAAUUCUGGAAAUCAUAUCCUUUUUGAGAAUAUUUGGUGCUAGGCAUUUGAAUAUGUGGCCACAAUUUAAACAAUAAAGAUUUUCUGCAUUGAUUUCUUAUAAUGGAUAUAUGCAUGUAAUUAUAAUAUGAUAUCUUUUGAUUAUUGACCCAUUUGUUUAGAAAAAAGGGAAAAAAAAAAAACAUGGUUAAAAGACAACUGUUACUUGACCUUAUCUUGGUCUCUUCACUGCCGUUUGUUUCCCAUAACUUCUGGUGAUAAUGUAGCCAGAAUGAUGAGUUGAAUUGUGGGUUGCUGACUUGUGAUACAUUUUGUAGGUGUUCAUUAGGUGAUGUUACAAAUUAUGAUGCCUGCUAUGAAAAAGCUUUGGAAGUUUCGAAUGAUAAGUCAGCUCGAGCUAAGGUGAUAUUCGUUGCACAGAGAAAAUGUAGUUCACAUUAUGCUUGUACCAUGAUCAUUUUUUAGUUAACAUAUCUUUACGUGAAUCGGAGGUCUCUAGCUCGUAGUGCAUGCAAUAGAGGGGAGUACGAGACAUCUUAAAUCCUUUGGUAUGUUGCUUUAAUGCUUUACUUCUCUUUCUGUCACACAGUAAUUUGCAGCAUUCACAACUGAUAUGGCUGAAUGACAAUUUACCCUUGGUUUUGUCUCAGGGAGGCUGCCAUGGCCGUGAAUUCUUUGUAUCCGGAUGGCUGGUUUGCUCUUGGUGCUGCUGCAUUGAAGGUAUCUUAUUUUUGUAUUAGUAUGUGUUUAGUUUGGAGAGAUUUCUUAUCCUUUUGCCCCAAGUUUCUGAAACUCUCGGCUGAAAUAUAAAUACAGGCUCAGGAUGUUGAAAAGGCUCUGGAUGGGUUUACUCGGGCUGUUCAACUUGAUCCAGACAAUGGGGAAGCUUGGAACAAUAUUGCUUGCUUGUAUGCUCCUUUCUUUGUCAUCAUGUCAUUCCGUCCUCUUGCUCUGUAUUCUUUAAUAUGGUUCCAUAUUCCCUUGAUGAGUGAAUUUAGUUGCUGCAAAUGCUAAGAACUAGAUAGUACUGUUAUAAUUAGGAAUAGGGCAAAUAUUAGCCAUAGUAUCUGAAUUUCUAGACAAAAUUGGUCAUUUUUGCAAAUCAUUUGGACGUAUCUAUGCAGCAGUUUACUAUUUUAGUGAUUGCAGGAAUUGGUAUGCUUAAAUUUUGGGCUUAAAUUGUGUGAAAAUAAUCAAAGUGAUAUGCAAAUUAAAUCAAGCCACAUGAGGGAAGAUUCUCUUUUUUUUUUUUUUAAGCUUAUGUUUCAUGUUUCUCUGUAUGGCAUAGGUAGUUGGAAGUGAGAGUAGUGCAGAUAUGUGGGGAUUAUAUGCAAGGUGGCUUAAAAGUAAAGGAGAUCUUACAAUGUGCUCUGAAGCCCUCUUAAAGCAAGUCAGAUCAUAUCAGGUUUCUCCAUAAAUCUCAUCAUCUUAUAAUAAUUUAGCAUUAUGUUUUACUUUGAUGUUGAUGGAAUUUGUUAAUGCUAAUCAAAUUUUGUUAAUCUCUCUCUCUCUUUUAAAAAGAAGGCAAAGAAAAAGCAUUGUGAUUUCAUUUUCGUUUUCUAAAUUUGUUAUCUAAAGGAAUGACAAGUUGACAACUCAGUCUCUCUCUCUCUCUCUCUGUCUCUCUCUGUCUGUGUCAGGGAUCUGAUUUGUGGAAAGAAAGAGAUCGGUUUAAAAGGUUUUCAUAUGCAUCCUUGGAACUUUGUAAGGUUUACAUGGAAAUUUCUUCCUCUUCUGGUAGCCGUCGAGAACUCUUUGCUGCUGAGAUGCACCUGAAGAACGUACUUAAACAAGUAAAAUACCUUAUAAUUCGAUAUUUAAGACACUUACAGUUGGUAUUACAUUGACAGCAGUAAAACAAGGAAGCAACUGAAAGUUAUCUUUAUAUGAGAAUGAAAGCUUUUCAGCAGCAUAAGCCUUUCACUAUUCAAUUCCAAACAUGUUCCUCAACAUGAUAACAAAUUCGUAGACCUUUUCUGGGUCUGGAAGGAUCCUGGCAACAGUUUCUCUUUGCAUGCACUUGUUCAUCCAUGCUGAGAAUUUGGGGCACUCAUUCUCAACCUUAAAUCCCCCAAAUUCCUCAACCGCGUAAAACCAACAAGUCAGUGGAAUGGCAAUGACAUCAACGAAUCCAAAGCUGUCCCCGCCAAAGAAAUCCUUCUCCCCUAAAGCUCCCUCAAGUUGCUUCAAAAUCUCUAUAAAUUCAUUCUUCGCCGGGGACCUCGCCCUUGCUUUUCCAUAUGUUGCAUACUGCAUCGAAUACCUACCAAAAGAGUGGUGUCAUCUUUUAAGUUCGCAUUUAGAAAGAUACAAACAUUUACACUUGUGAAUUAUAGACUGACCUUCUUGUCAAUAAAAUCUGACCAGAACCUUGCCUUAGCUCUCUCAAAAGCACAGGAUGGGAGAAGUGGUGGCGAAGGCCAAGUCUCGUCAAUGUAGUUAACUAUGAUAGUGGAUUCACACAAUGGUUUCCCAUCGUGUAGCAAAACUGGGACUUCUUAUAGAUGGGGUUUGAUUUGAGCAACAAGUCACUCUUGCCCCCAAACAAGUUCUCAGCUCUGGCUUCAUAUUCAACUCCUUUCUCAGCCAAUGCAAUCUUUGCUCUCAAGCAAAAUGGGCUAGCCCAACAGUCCAAAAGAACAACCUCUCCCUUGGACAUAUUCACUUUCUUUGUUCUUGUUUCUUUUAGUUGGUUGAUAGUAAUUAAACCUUGAGUAUCAAGGUUGGCAUUUAUAAAGUAGAUAAGAUGAAAUUCCCAAAGUUUGUGUCGCAAUCAACGUUUGUUCGUUGGCACUUCCUUAAAGGAUUUGGCAUUGUUUUUAUCAUUUCUUAGUUUUUGAAGCUAACUGUUUUACUUGGCUUCCAACAUGCACAAGAACAAGUUUGUCUUGUGUAUGCGGAGUUUACUAAGGACAAGCCGAAUCGUAAGCAAGCAUAUACACUAAUCAAUCGGUAUUGUCCAAUGAAAAUAAGUAAUGUAAACUUAUCAAAAAAAAAAAAAAAAGAAGUAAUGUAAAAAGUGUCUAGGAUUUUGCCUAAUAUUUCUCAAAAUACGCUAAUUAAGCCAAUUCUGGUGCUAGAUUGGUUCAACUUUGAAUCAAACUUGGAAACAUUGUGCUUUAGAUUACUAUUAUUGAUUUAGAAGAGUCAAAAAGCUAAGAGUAUCGUUGGUAAAGCUCAAACAUGUGGUAUAUCACAUAUUACUAGUGAGUGAGUUUCAUAAACUUUCCUAAUGAAGAAGACACAUUUUGGGUUGUAAAUCCUAACACAAAAUUUAUUCAGUUGUUGAGCCAGAAAUAUUACAGAUAUAUCAAUAUUAUUUGAUGUGGGCGCACAACCCUGCGUCUUCUUACAUAACUUGUAUGUGCACGUUGGCAGGAUAUCCCAAUUAUGUACUCGUUUGUCUUCAUGUGUUUUAAAAAAAUCUAUUGUAAUGGAUAUAUUGUAAAUUUAUCUAAUUGCUUGUUAUAAUGUUUCUAUUGUGGCGUUAUUCAAGUUGUCAUUUUCAGUUUUAUUUUGUUUUUCUUUAAACAUAGUUAAUUUGAAGUGUUCUUUAAUAUCCAUUACACUUGAGAUCAUCAAAUAAGUGAUUCUCGAGCAUAAUUGCUGUUGUUACUCGAAUAAGAAAAGAAAACAAAGUAUAGCUAAGGUAAAAGCAAAUGGAAAUGAGAGAACCGUGAUUUUGCAAAGAGAACUUCACACUAUCAUAAAACCGAAAACAUUACAAUUUAAAGCUUAAAUAACAACACACCAAAGCCAAAUAACGACCCACUAGAAUCAUGGUCCAAAGAUUGUGCCAUGAUCACAACAUGAACUACAAAAAAAAUAACCAACACCAAAAAAGUAGGAACAGUUUAAAACUUUCAACUAAGCAACAUUUAUGAUUCCACAUCAGCAGUCCUAAACACAUCUUCUAACAAUUGCAGCUGUUCAUUUUUGCUUCUGCCAAUAAGGAGUUGAUAGUAACCAAAAGGUUGUUGUCUUUAUUGUCAUUUGAGAGUAACCAAUUACUUACGCAGUCACGUAAGUUGCUGGUUGGCCUCGCACAUUUUUGAUAAGUUUGUUUCUGAAGGAAAGCAGCUGAGCCGCAACCUCUUCCAUGCUCAUUCGUUCUCUCGGCAACUCUGAGGAGCAAGUGACUCCGAUUGCCAGUACUGAAACCAAGCACUCUUUAACACUAAAACAUCUGGUCCAUUGUCUGUGAGCAUUGGCCUUGCUUGUCCCCCCUUCUUCUUUUUCUACAAGAAGCACUGGAUCAACAAUUUCAGCAAGUCUUUCAGGAAGAGCUUCCUUGACAAAAUUAUGUAGGGUUAGAUUGCCUGUAAACAUUUCAUUCGUCGGCCUCUUUCCUGUAAACAUUUCCAGUAAGAGUAUUCCAAAACAGUACACAUCUCCACUUGUUGAGACUUCGCUCCCCAUUCCGUACUCUGCAAUUCGAAAACUAAAAUUGUUGGUUCAACUAGUAAAAUCUCCAAGGAUUGAAAGACAAGUUAAUUAAAUUAUAGUAUUUACCUGGAGCAGCAUAACCAACGGUUCCUUUUACUCCAACAGAGCUUGAUUGAUUAGAUGACAAGUUAUUGGUGGCUUCCGGAAGGAAUUUUGCUAACCCAAAAUCACCUACAUGGGCAGUCAAUUCACCAUCCAGAAGAACAUUGCUUGGCUUGAGAUCACAAUGGACUAUUGGAGUCUCGCAAAAAUGAUGUAGAUAAUCCAAUGCGGAAGCAAGAUCAACGGCAAUACUCAGUCUUUGCAGGAGAUUUAGAUUCCUUGGUGCCUCACGGUUUGGAUGCAACCAUUCCUCCAGGCUCCCGUUAACCAUGAACUCAUAAACUAAAGCCUCGAAAUCAUUUCCUUGGAAGUCAACACUUGCACAGGAAGUUAUUAUUUUGACGAGAUUCCGAUGCCUAAUACUUCUCAAGGCUUGACACUCCGCCAUGAAACUCUUUGAAGCUCCUCGAUGUUGAAGAUUAAGCACCUUAACUGCCACCAGCGUUUCAUGAUCAUCAUGAUUGAGGACUCCUUUAUAGACCGAACCAAAGCUACCGGCACCAAUCAAGUUUUCCAAAGAGAACCCGUCAGUUGCUUUGAACAGAUUCUCAUAUGACACUCGUAAAAUCGAAGCCAAUAAUGCUGACGGAGGAGUGGCCGGCUCCAUUUUUGAUUUGCUCCGCCGGGAAGUAAUUAUCAAACACGACAUCCCUGUCACUAACAAAAUUACUGUAACUACAGGAAUAAUCAGUUUCAGGGAACGGGCACGUGAUUGCUUUGAUUCUUUGAUGGAACAAGUAGAUAAAUGCAACUCAGAUAUGCCACCACAGAGGUUAUCAUUUCCAUCAAGAGAUAUAGCACUUGAAUUGCUGUAGACUCCUUUUAUUGGUACUUCACCCUCAAAAUGAUUAGAAGAUAGAUUUAAAUUCUGCAAAAAGAAAAAGUUUUCAAAAUAUUUUGGAAUCCGGCCAGACAAAUUGUUCCGCGAAAGAUCAAGGUUCUGAAUGCCUCUCAAAGAACUGAAUGAUGAAGGGAUAUUCCCUUGAAAGAAAUUACCAUUCAUGACGAGUUGUUCCAACCUAACGCAACUUCCUAGACUGUUUGGAAUUUCACCAGACAAUUUGUUCUCAGAUACAUCUAGAACACCCAGAUUUUUCAAGAUGCCAAAAUUUGAGGGCAAAGGACCGUUCAAUUGGUUUUGAGAUAGAUCAAGAUAGAUUGACAAGGAAGAGAGACCAAUCACUUCAGUGGGUAUGGUACCAGUGAGGUUGUUAUUAGAGAGAUCUAAUAAUAUCAAGUUUUGGCAUUUCCCUAGACUUGAUGGAAUGCUUCCCUCUAACAUGUUUUCGUCAAAAGCUAGUAUAGCUAACGAUGUCAAAUUUCCUAUAGAAGAUGGAAUUUCCCCCAAAAACUUGUUCCCGUUCAGCCCCAACCCCUGCAGCUUUUGAAGAUAUCCUAUGCUUUCCGGAAUUCGGCCUGUGAAUUGGUUGUCCCCAAGGUCUAAAAGCUCUAAGUUAACAAGAUUUCUUAAUCCACUUGGGAUAUUUCCGAACAAUUGAUUGUUUCCAACUGAUAAUUUUCUAAGUCGGGUUGACAAGUUCCCCACAGCUUCAGGUAACAUUCCGCCACAAUUGUUAACAUGACCUUCCAGUCGCUCUAGUCUAGAAGCGUUGACCAAAGAAUUGACAAAUUCCAAGUCAUCUUUUUUCCCAUUUCCUAAGUGAUUCCAAGAAAUACUAACCCAUUCGAGUUUAUGUAAAUGUUCCAAACUAGGCACCUUUCCACUGAAUCCAUUCCCUCCGAUUGCAAGUCUCAAUAGAUUUGAGGCAUUGGAUAUUGAAGCAGGAAUAGGCCCGGUAAACUGAUUUUCACCAACGUUUAAUUCUUCAAGAUUAGGAAGGGUGAAGCCUAAGUCUGAUGGAAGGCUUCCUUGAAGUUGGUUAACAGGAAAAUCAAAAACACUAAGCGAAGACAAGUUGUAGAUUGAGAAGGGGAUUUCACCUGAUAGCUUAUUUACUCCAAAUGCUAUAAAACGCAUCCUCUUAAGCUCGCCCAGGGUUUCAGGAAUUUGUCCCACAAAUUGAUUUGCAGUUGCUGAGAGGACCUCGAGUGAUGACAAAUUGCCAAAGGAAGAUGGGAUUUCUCCUGACAAAUUGUUGUAGUGUACUGAGAGAAGCCGGAGCUUUGAUAAGGAGCCCAGAUUCCCUGGAACUUUCCCCACAAACUCAUUGGAGCCUAACGAGAGGGAUUCAAGGUUAACGCAAUGCGAUAUGUUGUCGGGAAUUUGACCUCCGAAUGAAUUGUUAUACAGCAUUAAUUUUUGUAACCUGAACAGAUAUCCAAUCUCUUGAGGGAUUUCGUCGCGGAAGCUGUUGUUUUUUAUAUCUAACACUCUGAGAAAACUUAAAUUACCAAUGUGAGGCGACAGAGACCCCUGCAAGAGUGAAGAUGGGAGAAGUAAUGCAGUCACUCUUUGGUGCCGUCGACUGCAGGUGACACCUUUCCAUUGACAAAAGUGCCUGGAAUAGUUCCAUGAACUCAAAACCUCAAGAGGGUCAUGAGUAACUUUGGCCUUGAAUUCAAGCAAUGCAAGUUGAUCAGUUUCAUUGCUUUUGAGCAUAUAAUCGGUUGACUGCAAGCUGAAGCUGAAGCAACAGAAAAUAAAGAAACAAAUGCUUACAAUGAUUGAACUCAUCAUGUUUACAAAAUCCAUUUAACUGCCGAAAGGAAAUUAAAAUGAUAAAAUUUUUAUAGAGGUUGAUAAGAUAAACUAUGUUUGUAUAUUUUUUGCAAUGAUUUAUGGACUCUGUACUUGAUGCUCAAAUGUGAACCGGCUGGCACCGUGACAGUGAAACUAAUACUUUUUGUUUUUCUAAUAAUAUUAAUUAUCCUCUUUAAGGAAUAAUAUACACUUUUGACCCGCCACACUCACUUUUGACGCUCUAUCAGUUUCCAGCAUGUUGUCGUUUUGUAUUUUAGUGCAUUAAAGAAAUCCACAAUGAAUAUAAAAUAAUUUAAUCAACAGUAUUAGAAAAAGAAAAAAAGUAGGAUAAGAAAGUUAAGUAUGAUGGAUGGAGGUUCAGAUUACUGUUAAAUGACUUAGGAAAGGCUUAAAAAGCACCACAGGAAUCAACGUUUCACAAAGCUUUUUUUCCCUUUCUGAAAUAUUCAGUGCAGUCUCCCCCAGAUUUUGCUAGUGCAACCAAGAGACGUCAUGCCGUUAUCAAUUAUAAACUGUAAAUGACAUGUUGUUUUUACAAGACAUAUUAUGCGUCGAUACAUACCUUUUCUGGUUGUUGGUUUAUAAAAAUAUAUGAGACGGCUUGUUAGCUUUAACCUCAUUGUCAUUUUGAAUAGCCUACAAGAGUCGAAUGACUAGACUUCCAAUUUGCUAUCAUCCCCCUUGAAUGGGUUCAAGAAAUUCAGCAGGUUGCGAAACAAUAAGAUUCAUUCAAUCGGCGUAGAUAUCUAACUGACUGAAAUUAAAUAAAUGAUGAUGAUAAGAAAUUUGAAAUCAACAAAUCUCGGCACAUCUAUUCUGCAAUUUAGCCGUACUUCAAAUAAUCUUGCGAUGAAAAUUUCAUAAAAAUUUUCAGAAAGAGGACAGAACAACCAAGGCAUCAGCGAAAGCAAUCGUGGCAGGGCACGCUCAAGCCACGAGUUAGAGGAAUUUUAAAUAUCAAAACCAGCUCAGAAUAAUAAGAGGUAAAAUGAAUCUAUGAAAGGCUCAGAUUUUUGGAUGAGUGAAGGGAAGAUGAGAAGAUGAAAUGCAGAAAGUCAAGAAAUGAAUAAAACAGCUCUAAUUUGGAUUAAGCAUCCAUCUACCUAUGUGGAUAAUAAUUUUGCUAAUUUUUCAGCCAUGCAGCAGGAUCAUGUUCGUCCUGUUUUAUUUGAUAGAAGGAAUUUUCCCUUGGAAGAAAAUGAUGAGUUGUUUCAACGUCAUGCAACUGCCUAGACUGCAUGGAAUUUCACCAGACAAUGACAAUUUAUUCUCAGAUAUAUCUAACGCCCCACAAUUUAAACAAUAAAGAUUUUCUGCAUUGAUUUCUUAUAAUGGAUAUAUGCAUGUAAGUAAAAUAUAAUAUCUUUUGAUUUUUGGCCCAUUUGUUCAGAAAGAAGGGAAAAAAAAAAAAAUACAUGGUUGAAAGACAACUGUUACUUGACCUUAUCUAGGUCUCUUCACUGCCAUUUGUUUCUUAUAACUUAUGGUGAUAAUGUAGCCAGAAUGAUGAGUUGAAUUGUGGGUUGCUGACUUGUGAUACAUUUUGUAGGUGUUCAUUAGGUGAUGUUACAAAUAAUGAUGCCUGCUAUGAAAAAGCUUUGGAAGUUUCGAAUGAUAAGUCAGCUCGAGCUAAGGUGAUAUUGUAGUUCACAUUAUGCUUGAACCGUGAUCAUUUUUUAGUUAACAUAUCUUUAUGUGAAUCAGAGGUCUCUAGCGCGUAGUGCAUACAAUAGAGGGGAGUACGAGACAUCUAAAAUCCUUUGGUAUGUUGCUUUAAUGCUUUACUUCUCUUUCUGCCACGCAGUAAUUUGCUGCAUUGACAACUGAUAUGGCUGAAUGACAAUUUACCCUUGGUUUUGUCUCAGGGAGGCUGCCAUGGCCUUGAAUUCUUUGUAUCCGGAUGGCUGGUUUGCUCUUGGUGCUGCUGCAUUGAAGGUAUCAUAUUUUUGUAUUAGUAUGUGUUUAGUGUGAAGCGAUUUCUUAUCCUUUUGCCCCAAGUUUCUGAAACUCUCGGCUGAAAUAUAAAUACAGGCUCGGGAUGUUGAAAAGGCUCUGGAUGGGUUUACUCGGGCGGUUCAACUUGAUCCAGACAAUGGGGAAGCUUGGAAGUUGGAACAAUAUUGCUUGCUUGUAUGCCCUUUUCUUUGUCAUCAUGUCAUUCCAUCCUCUUGCUCUGUAUUCUUUAAUAUUGUGUCAAUCACAUUCAUCUUCUAUCUGCAAGAGUAUGCUUCCCAUAUUUGGUUUACUUUGUUUUGACUUUCUUGUUGCAGUUGUUCUGUAUAAAUUUUAUAUGGUUCCAUAUUCCCUUGAUGAGUGAAUUUAGUUGCUGCAAAUGUUAAGAACUAGAUAGUACUGUUAUAAUUAGGAAUAGGGCAAAUAUUAGCCAGCUCUUUUGAGGAUUAUCCAUAGCAUAUACCUCCGUCGUUUUCAAAGCGAUUGAAGUUCUCCCUUUUGUCUUAUUUAAAAGAAAAAAGCACAAAUUGCUUCCCUCACAUCUCUCUACAGUCUCUUUUCUCUCUGUUUAAUUUUUUCUUGUGCUUAUUAUUUGUCUUUUAAUGCAUCUUUUCUUCUUAUUUUAUACUGUACUAGAAUUUGUGCUGUCUCGAUUUCAUCUUGUAUGUGAGUUACUGUGUUUUUCGCAAUUGUAGAACUUUAUUUAGCAGCAUAAUUAUUAGUUAGUGAGACAUUAAUUGGUUAAUACCACUUUUGAAGAUACGAAGAGCUACUUAUUCUCUCUUCUAGUACAUUUAAAAAAUUCAUCACAAAAUAUCUGGGAUGGUAAAAUUCUCGUCAAUUAUAACUACGGAAGUCUUGAGAUUUAUGUAAUCUUGCAGGCAUAUGAUCAAGAAGAAGAGCAAAGAGGCUUUUAUAGCAUUCAAGGAGGCCCUAAAGUUCAAUUUCUGUCUUUUUUCACCCUGAUCACUACAUUUUUAUUUUUUUGGUGGAUAAAGCCUGCUGUCACUUUGGGCAUCAAUUUCUAAUGAAUGCAAUAAUGUUCCUUUCUUUGCUAUUCAUUAAAAUUGAGUUGUUCUUCUUGGAUGGCCUUCUUUUUACUUCCCAUCAUUUUGCCAGCUUGUUGAUUGUCAUUUUUGCUUGUUGGCAGUCUUUUCCUGCAGUGUUGAUAAUAUUUAACAAAUUCGCAGACCUUUUCUGGGUCUGGAAGGAUCCUCGCAACAGUUUCUCUUUGCAUGCACUGAUUCUCAACCUUAAAUCCCCCAAAUUUCUCAACCGCGUAAAACCAACAAGUCAGUGGAAUGGCAAUGACAUCAACGAAUCCAAAGCUAUCCCCGCCAAAGAAAUCCUUCUCCCCUAAAGCUCCCUCAAGUUGCUUCAAUAUCUCUAUAAAUUCAUUCUUCGCCGUCCCUGGGACCUUGCCCUUGCUUUUCCAUAUGUUGCAUACUGCAUCGAUUACCUGCCAAAAGAGUGGUGUCAUCUUUUAAGUUCGCAUUUAGAAAGAUACAAACAUUUAUACUUGAGAAUUAUAGACUGACCUUCUUGUCAAUAAAAUCUGCCCAGAACCUUGCCUUAGCUCUCUCAGAAGCACAGGAUGGGAGAAGUGGUGGAGAAGGCCAAGUCUCGUCAAUGUAGUUAACUAUAACGGUGGCUUCACACAAUGGUUUCCCAUCGUGUAGCAAAACUGGGACUGUCUUGUUGAUGGGGUUUGAUUUGAGCUGCAGGUCACUCUUGCCCCCAAACAAGUUCUCAGCUCUGGCUCAUAUUCAACUCCUUUCUCAGCCAAUGCAAUCUUUGCUCUCAAGCAAAAUGGGCUAACCCAACUGUCCAAAAUAACAACCUCUCCCUUGGACAUAUUCACUUUCUUUGUUCUUGUUUCUUUUGGUUGGCUGAUAGUAAUUAAACCUUGAGUAUAUGAAGGAGAAAAGAUGAAAUUCGAAUACCGCUUUUGUUGGCAUUUAUGAAGGAGAAAAGAUGAAAUUCCCAAAGUUUGUGUCGCAAUCAACGUUUGUUCGUUGGCACUUCCUUAAAGGAUGUGGCAUUGUUCUUAUCAUUUCUUAGUUUUUGAAGCUAACUGUUUUACUUGGCUUUCAACAUGCACAAGAACAAGUUUGUCUUGUGUAUGCGGAGUUUACCAAGUACAGGCCGAAUCGUAAGUAAGCAUUUACACUAAUCAAUCGGUAUUGUCCAAUGAAAAUAAGUAAUGUAAAAAGUGUCUAGGAUUUUGCCUAAUAUUUCUCAAAAUAGGCUCAUUAAGCCCAAUUCUGGUGCUAAUUUGGUUCAACUUUGAAUCAAACUUGGAAACAUUUUUCUUUAGAUUAUUAUUAUUAAUUUAGAAGAGUGAAAAAAGUUAAGAGUAUCGUUGGUGAAUUCAUGCCUAGCCCCACUAGAGAGUGAGUUUCGUAAACUUUCCUAAUUAAGAACACAUGUUUUGGGUUGUAAAUUCUAACACAAUAUCUAUUCAGUUGUUAACUUGGAAUAUUACAAUUAUAUCAAUAUUGUUUGAUGUGGGCACACAACCCUGCGUCUUCUUAGUUAGGACAGCCAAUGAAAUUCACUUGUUAGCGAUGCAGGGGAUGAUACAUAACUUGUAUGUGCACGAUGGCGGAGUAUCCCAGUUCUGCACUCGUUUGUCUUCCUAUGUUUUAAAAGAUCUAUUGUAAUGGAUAUAUUAUAAAUUUAUCUAAUUGCUUGUUAUAAUGCUUCUGUUGCAGUGUUAUUUGAGUUGUCAUUUUCAGUUUUAUUUUAUUUUUUCUUUAAACAUAGUUAAUUUGAAAUGUUCUUUAAUAUCCAUUACACUUGAGAUCAUCAAAUAAGUGAUUCUCGAACAUAAUUGCUGUUGUUACUUGAAUAAGAAAAGAAAACACCAAAGUCAAAUUAAAGCGCAAAUGCUAAAAGUAAAUGGAAAUGAGAGCAACGUGAUUUUGCAAAGAGAACUUCAUACUAUCAUAAAAAUGAAAACAUUACAAUUUAAAGCUUAAAUAACAACACACCAAAGUCAAAUAACGACCCACUAAAAUCAUGGUCCAAAGAUUGUGCCAUGAUCACAACAUGAACUACAAAAAAAUAACUGUUAAGUAAAUAAAAGCACCAGGUCGGCCAUGCUACUAUUUCCACGCCAGUAUGGAUCACCUCAACCAAAUGGUACGAGCAGAACACGGGGACAAAUAUGGUCCGACCAGAGAUGAGUACCAACCAAGAGAGUAUACCGACCAGAGGUAGAUACCGAGCCGAUACCCAUCCCCCAAAAAAGCGGAAACACGAUCUCACAGAAUCACGGUAGUUGCGCUUUCCCAGAACCGUUGCGGGAGACGCGAGAUCCCACGUUUGCCCAUAAUGCAACAGUUAGAGUCCCAUGAGGGGCUGCCACUACCCGAAAAAGGUGGGAUGAAGGGCAAACGGGAACGUGGGGACAACGGCUAUAAAAGAAGAAGAAAUUGAUGAAGACAGGGAUAGAAAAAUUAAGAGAGGGAAAACGCUGCCAAAUUGCAAUCAAACAUUUUUCUUACAAACUUCGAAACAAGUUAGAAACCCUUCUUGAAUCCAAAUUACACUGUUUUCCCGUAAACACCUUGUGCUAACUUAGGCAUCGGAGGGUUUACGCCGGCAAAACCACCGGCGUCUCUGAUCCGUUUUUGGUGAACGCAGGUCUAGUAAGAGAAAGGAGGGCGAUUCCAACCCCAGUGGUCCGAGCAACAGUUGACAACACAAACGUUGGUGAAAGAAUCUGGUCGGUCAAAAGGCGAGCAUAUUUAAGCAUCAACAUUUUGGCGCCGUCUGUGGGGAGCUGAAUAAAAAGCUACCACCAAAUUACUAAUUACCGGAGAAGCAGCGAAUGAUUGGAUAUGGACGUGUCAAGAAAGGAUACUCUAAGGGAGGACAAUGAAACGGUGGAGAUAAUCACUCUCCGGGAAAUUGCAAAUGAAGCUCGAGAGAGGAUGAUGCAAGAUAGACUGGAGCGGAUGGAGAAACAAAUGGAGACUCUCGCGGCCAUAUUGUUUGAGCUGAGGGAUGAGCGGAGAAGGGAUUGUGAAACCCCCGUGGGAAGAGAUGAAGUGGGAGCAGAACCCAGCCACCGGAGGCGUAGAGUCGAGGAAAUCCCUCCGCCCACAGACCAACCUAAUGGGGUACCUCCCCACAUAAGUACUGGUCGGGUCCCAGGAGAACACGUGGAUGAAGGGAGAGACCAACCUCGCCCCGGACGAAUACCGGAAACUAAUGGCCGAGGGGCCAGUGUUGAUGAAGGAGAGCUCAGACAGCGGUUGCAGAACGCCGAGCAGGAGCGAGACCAGAUAGCUGCACGUGAUCCUGACCGUGCUAUAGAAUUGGAGGGGAAAGUGUGCAGAUUGGCGCAGGUGAUAGAGGAGAUACAGUGCAAGAGAAAGCCCCCGAGCUGGAGGAUAAUGCUAGAUGAAGAAUCUCUGUUAUCAACUGAGAUCAUGGGUACCAUAAUCCCAAGAGAUUUCCGCUUCCCCGACCUCAAAUACUCCGGGCGAAGUGACCUGCUGGUGCACAUUGAGCGUUUCAAUGACAUGACGGGUGUGCAGGGGCUGACACCAGCUCAGAGGUGCAGGGUAUUCCCGUUGACACUAGAGGGACGAGCUCAAGAAUGGUAUCGCAAGCUGCCCCGAGGAAGUAUAAAGGGGUAUAAGCAGAUGUGCCAGGAGUUGGCCGAGCAAUUCUGAGGGGCAGUGGCCCCAGAGGAUGACAUGAUGGAACUGAUGGGGAUGAAAUAGGAGGAGCAUGAAUCCCUUCGAGAUUAUGUAAAACGAUAUCACCGAGCCGUGCUGGAUCUGGGAGCUUUUAAUCACCCGCAGGCGUUGAGGGGAUUAAAAGAAGGUGUAAGAAUCGGCCGAUUGUGGUAUAACUUAAGAAGCCCCCUCGUAUAGAAUUACUCGUCGGGGUAUAAGCAGGCGAGGCGAGAUAUAGAAAUCGAAGAGGAGAAAUCGGCAAGAAUAAAAAGUGAACAGCUGGAAGAGCUGAGGCAAAAGGAACGGAGGGCCCCGAGAGGGAGCGGGUCAGGAAAACGAGCUGGAGAAUCUUCAGUGAUGGGAGGAAUAUCGGCUCGGUCCCGCCUUUACCCCAUAGCUCCGAGAUCACAACAGUUCCAACACAGCCGGGCUUAACCUCCGCGCCCCCCGAUCCCAGAGCGGCAGCGAGAAUUCAGGUAGAUGGCUGCCCACCCUUAUCACAGCACUCCCAGAGCGUUAAAUGCAACUAAUUACAGGUCUGGACGACCAGAGCAGCUAUCGACUAUACCAGCCCGAGGUGACAUCCAUGAUAGCCGAGCAGUUCAGUUGGUUGACCAGAGCGUGACAUAUAGACAGUACACUCCAUUGAAAAUCUCCAUGGAGGAACUAUAUGACAGGAUUGAGGGGCGAGGACUGCUGUAUACUCCGGCCCCUAUAACAAAACCCGCUCACCGGCGUGAUAAGAGCAGGUUCUGCAAAUUCCACAACACUCACGGUCACACUAUUAGCCAAUGCCGUGACCUAAAGAUUCAGGUGGAGGAUUUGGUGAGGAACAAGUACUUGGAUGAGUAUGUAGAUGGAGUGUCCCCCGUCAUUGAAUCGCAAUAUGCACGGGAUGAAGGAGUUGAAAGGGGUUUGGAACGAGAACAGCCGACCAUCCGGGUGAUAGCAGGAGGGCCAACAUUGGCCGGGGAUUCGAACAGAGCACGAAAGAACUAUGGGAGAUAUGCCAUGACUGGCAAAGAGGUGCUUCUCAAUUUGCCAGUAGCCAAGAGGGCAAAAGUGCGGCAAGUUCCCAUUAUGUGGACAUAGGACGACGAAGAGGGCAUUUUAUAUCCUCAUGAUGAUGCACUGGUGAUUAAAGCAUUGGUGGCUAGUACAGAAUUGCGGCGAAUACUGGUGGACACAGGCAGCUCAGUAGACAUUCUGUUUAAGUCGGCCCUAGAUGAUAUGGGGACUUCAGACUUGAAGCUGGAGCGGACGAAUACAUCCUUGAAGGGAUUUGGAGGAGGACGGCUAACUCCCAUGGGGAUCAUCGAACUCCCAAUUAUCGUGGGAUCAAAACCGUUUGAAAGAACGAUGAUGCUGGAUUUUGUCGUGGUAGAAGAAAGAAGUCUUUAUCAGAUGAUAUUGGGGAGACCGUUCAUGAGGAUCAGCCAAUGUAUAAUGUCCACGUAUUAUCUGGCGAUGAAGUACAGAAUAAAUGGAGUUGUUGGUGUAGUAAAAGGCGACCAGAGAAUGGCCAGGAGCUGCUAUGCUACAGCGGCCAAGGAAACGCUGCAGGUUACCUCUCUAGAUAACCGAGGGGAUUCAAAAAAUGGUCGCCAGAAACCUGUUGAGAAGCUGGAGGGGGUUGUUGUAAGCAGGAGUGACCCGGUCAGAGUGGUUAAAGUCGGAUCAGAAUUGGACGAAGCAAUAAAAGGCGAGCUGGUGAAGUGUCUACAGUCCUAUGCAGACAUAUUUACCUGGUCUCAUGAGGAUAUGCCAGGUAUUGAUCGCGGGGUAGCUUGUCACAAGCUGGCAGUCAAGAAAGAGGCAAGGCCGGUGAGGCAGAAAAGGAGGUGCUUCAACUAGGAAAUGUAUGAGGCCAUAAAUGCAGAGGUGGAAAAGCUGCCGAAAGCAGGAUUUAUAAGGGAAGCCAAGUACCCGGAGUGGAUUUCCAAUGUAGUACUGGUAAAGAAGGCCAAUGGGAAGUGGAGAAUGUGUGUAGACUUCACGGACCUCAAUAAGGCAUGCCCGAAGGACAGUUUUCCCCUACCAAAAUAGAUCAGUUGGUGGACUCGACCGCGGGUCAUAGUCUACUCAGUUUCAUGGAUGCCUUUUCCGGAUACAACCAGAUACCCAUGGACGAGCAGGAUGAGGAAAGCACUACCUUUAUAACUAACAUGGGUUUGUUUUGUUACAGGGUGAUGCCCUUUGGCCUGAAAAAUGCAGGAGCUACCUAUCAAAGGUUAGUGAACAAGGUCUUCAAACCAUUGAUCGGUCACACUAUGGAAGUAUAUGUGGACGAUAUGAUCACCAAGUCAAGAGAACCAAGAGAUCAUGUGAAGCACUUGGAAGAGACCUUCGAAUUGCUGAGGAGGUAUGAAAUGAAGCUGAACCUAGAAAAAUGUGCAUUUGGGGUCAGCUCGGGCAAAUUUUUGGGAUACCUGGUAAGCCAUCGAGGGAUUGAGGCCAACCCGGAAAAGAUACGGGCGGUGAUAGAAACGAGGUCCCCACGAACAGUUAAGGAGGUGCAGAGCCUUACGGGGAAAUUGGCAGCAUUGAACCGAUUCAUUUCGCGAGCCACUGAUAAGUGCCACCCUUUCUUCCAAAUCAUAAAGAAAGGGAGGAAGAUGGAAUGGACACCGGAAUGCGAUGAGGCAUUUGGACAGUUGAAGGAAUACCUAGCCCGCGCCCCGUUACUCUCAACUCCGAGAGAGGGUGACCAGCUGCUUUUGUACUUGGCAAUCUCUAAGUGGGCUACCAGCUCGGUCUUAGUCAGGGAAGAAGAAGGGAAGCAACACCCGGUAUACUACACAAGCAAGGCCCUGGUAGACGCAGAAACCAGAUAUCCACUAAUGGAGAAGUGGGCGCUGGCUCUGAUAACGGCAGCACGCAAACUCCGACCGUAUUUCCAAGCCCACCAGAUCGUUGUGAUGACUGACCAGCCCCUUCGGCAAGUGCUUCAAAAACCAGAUGCGUCUGGUCGGUUAGUAAAAUAGUCCGUGGAGUUGAGCGAAUUUGACCUGUCUUACAGGCCCCGAGGAGCAAUCAAGGCCCAAGCCUUGGUAGAUUUUAUGGUUGACCGUGUUGAACCAGGGGAAGAGGUCCAAGAGGAACAACCAGCAGAACGGGAGGAUUCAAAGGGGAUGUGGCUGGUAAUGGUUGAUGGGUCACGUAGUGAACAGGGAUCCGGGGCAGGAGUUAUAAUACGAAGCCCAGAAGGUGUCGAGGUAUCCUAUGCUGUAAAGUUCGAAUUCCAGCUUUCGAACAACCAAGCUGAAUAUGAGGCCUUCAUUACUGGGCUCGGUCUUGCACAUGCACUACGAGCAGAAAGGGUAAAAAUCCGAGCAGAUUCCCAGCUAGUAUGUAACCAGCUCAACGAUCAAUUCCAAGUAAGGGAAGAGAAAUUGGGACUUUAUUUGAAGAAGGCGAAGCAGAUGGUUGAACUCUUUAAUGAGGUAGAGGUGAAGCAGAUAUCCCGGAAUGAAAAUUACCGAGCUGACAUGUUGGCUAGGAUGGCCGCAACUGUAGAUCCCAAAUUACCUAAAUCAGUUCCACUAGAGGUGAGAACCUCGCCGAGUAUAGGAGAGGAAGUAGAGGUAAUGAGAGUAAGCACUGAAGAAUCCUGGAUGGACCCGAUUCUUGCAUACAUCCGCGAUGACGUUUUACCAGAGGACAAAAAGCAAGCAAAAAAGCUAAAAUACCGAGCAGCGAGGUACACACUACUCGAUGGGGUACUCUACUGCCGAGGAUUCACUUUGCCCCUUUUGCGAUGUGUGGAUAAUGAGGAGGCAGAUUAUGUACUAAAGGAGAUUCAUGAAGGAAUCUGCGGCAAUCACUCGGGAGCAAGAACUUUAGCCUUUAAGGCACUCCGGCAAGGAUACUUUUGGCCGACCAUGCACCAGGAUGCGAAAAGGAUGGCAAAGAAUUGCAAAACCUGCCAAAACUUCUCAGAGGUUCCCGCACAACCCCCAGAAAAGCUGACCACUAUGACAUCCCCAUGGCCUUUUGCUCAAUGGGGAAUCGACCUGAUUGGUCCGUUACCGAAAGGCCGAGGAGCGGCGACCCAUGCAAUUGUAGUAAUAGACUACUUCACCAAGUGGAUAGAAGUGAGGGUCCUUAGCCAAAUCACGGAGAGAAAGACAACGGAUUUUAUCUGGAAGAAUAUCAUCUGCAGAUACGGAAUCCCUUAUACCAUCAUCACCGAUAAUGGGAGGCAAUUUGACAACAACAACUUCAGAGAGUUUUGCCGGAACCUAGGGGUGGACCUGAAAUUUUGCACCCCCGCACACCCCCAGGCAAACGGACAAGUGGAAGCAGCCAACAAAGUGGUAAAGAAACUCCUGAAGACUAGACUGGGAGAGAAGAAAGGAGCUUGGGUUGACGAGCUACCAGGGGUACUGUGGGCUUACCGGACAACUCACAAAACCGCCACAGGGGAAACCCCGUUUGCCUUAGCUUUUGGUCAUAAGGCGGUAAUCCCGGCAGAAAUUGGAGUGGGGACACAUCGGACGGAAUACUUCAAUAAGGAGCAAAAUGGCGAGCAGAUCUACUUGAGCCUGGAUCUGCUGGAGGAGAAAAGGGAAGGGGCUUCGCAGAAAGUAGCCCAGUGUCAGCAAAGGGUCACGCGUUAUUACAACAAGAACGUACAUGUGAGACAGUUCCGAACAGGAGAUUGGGUGCUCAAGAAGGUGAACUAAAAUACCAAGGACCCUAACCAUUGAGCUCUUGGUCCGAAAUGGGAAGGCCCGUACAGGGUGAUACGAGCAACUGGACCAGGAGCUUACAAGCUAGCGUACCCAGACGGACGAAAUGUGAAGAGGUCGUGGAACGCUGAGCACUUGAAAAAGUACUUCCAGUAAGCAAAGUGCUCUAUUAGUUUUCAUUUUGAUAAGUUAUUCCUUUCAAAUGCAUGAUGGCUUGUUGGGCAUGCAUAUAUGCUGUAUUUCUAUAACGCAUUCAAAGUUCAAUAAAGAUGAAUUCAGCAUGAAAUCCCCUGGCCAAUAAGUCCAUUAAAAAAUUCUACUAAGGCAAGUAAGUGCCUACUUCUGCUCGGUCAGCGAGAGACCAGCAGCUAAUUCUACAAAAAAUCUGCUAAGGCAAGUAAGUGCCUGCUUCUGCUCGGUCAACGAAAGACCAGCAGCUAAUCUAUGAAAGAUCUACUAAGGCAAGUAAGUGCCUGCUUCUGCUCGGUCAACGAGAGACCAGCAGCUAAUUCUACAAAAAAAUCUGCUAAGGCAAGUAAGUGCCUGCUUCUGCUCGGUCAACGAAUGACCAGCAGCUAAUCUACGAAAGAUCUGCUGAGGCAAGUAAGUGCCUGCUUCUGCUCGGUCAACGAAAGACCAUCAGCUAAUCUAUGAAAGAUCUACUAAGGCAAGUAAGUGUCUGCUUCUGCUCGGUCAACAAGAGACCAGCAGCUAAUUCUACAAAAAAUCUGCUAAGGCAAGUAAGUGUCUGCUUCUGCUCGGUCAACGAAUGACCAGCAGCUAAUCUACGAAAGAUCUGCUAAGGCAAGUAAGUGCCUGCUUCUGCUCGGUCAACGAAAGACCAGCAGCUAAUCUACGAAAGAUCUACUAAGGCAAGUAAGUGUCUGCUUCUGCUCGGUCAACGAGAGACCAGCAGUUAAUUCUACAAAAAAAUCUGCUAAGGCAAGUAAGUGCCUGCUUCUGCUCGGUCAACGAAUGACCAGCAGCUAAUCUACGAAAGAUCUGCUAAGGCUAGUACGUACCUGCUUCUGCUCGGUCAACGAGAGACCAGCAGCUAAUUCUACAAAAAAUCUGCUAAGGCAAGUAAGUGUCUGCUUCUGCUCGGUCAACGAAAGACCAGCAGCUAAUCCUACGAAAAUUCUACUAAGGCAAGAAAAUGCCAGCUUCUGCUCGGUCAACGAAAGACCAAUAGGCAAUUUUACAAAAUUUCACUAAGGCAAAUAAGUGCCUGCUCCUGCUCGGUCACCGAAGACCAGCAGGAAAUUUUGCGAAAAUUUUACUAAGGCAAACAGAUGCCUAUUCCUGCUCGGUGCACUAAAGAACCAGCAGGCAAAAUCAGAUAAAUGGUCAAGUUAAUUUGCAGAAGCAACCCAUGAGCAAAAAACAGGCAAGAAAGCCAAUAGAGAGCAUUUAAAAAUUUAUAAACGUUCAAAUGUUUACAAAGCAAAUGAAAAUCUAGAGUCUUUACAAAAUUAGACCUAAGGAUUAUGAGGGUCAACGGCCUCAGCAGGUGAGGGAUCAGCAACAUCAGGAGGUGGGAGAUCAGCAGUACCGGGAGGAGGAGGCAUGGACCCUUGACCCACUUCGAAAGUGCGUCCCCCAGCUUCCCCCUCUUGUACCCCAUCCAAAGGAGCCUCCACCUGAUCCUGCUCACCCUGCUCCUUGUCUGCCUGGCCGACCUCUACCAUAUACCGCUGCACUCCAGCCUCCAACUUGCUCAUGUCCAGCUCGGGAUAUUCUCCCUGAAGCACAGACAUAAUGCACUUAUAGGAGAAAGCAACCCUCGAGUCAUACUCGGCAUCCAACCGAUCGUCCACAUCAGCGGAUUUGCUUUUUUCCUCAGCCAGCUGCUCAUUCAGGGAUUUGAUUUCUCCCUCAAGGGCGGUCCUCAAAGUAUCUCUUUCACUUUGAGUUACCUGAAGGUCCGACUUCAGGCCACCCAACUCACCCUCAAACUUAGAGGCAGUGGACUCAGCAACUGCAACUUUCUCCUCCAGCUCUGUAAUCUGCUUGUUUAACUCGGCCAAUUUCUCCUUGGAGCGGUCAGCAGAUUCAGUUUUCUUCUUCAACUCCUGGUUAUCAGCUUGAAGCUUCCUCUCAUGACGCGCGGACCCGGUCUUGUAGCACGAGACCAUUGUAGCCAGCCUAAAGGAGACUCUUUGAACAGAAGCAGCUAACUCAGAGAGGUUCAUGCUCUCGAUGUCCUUCACCAUCUUGGGCCCAACCGAUUUUUUAUAAUCCUUCUGAUAUGGGCUCAGGUAGUCACCUUGAUCCCGAGAUGGAAGAGGAGAAGAUCGGUCCCCAGACUGCAAGCUGACCUCAGGACUCUUGUCGGAGAUUUUCUCCCCACCAAUCUUACGAGGUGGUGGAGGGGGCAGAGCAGGAACAGGCGCCUUGGAAGGACCGACGCUGGGUUUCUUUAGAGGAGGAGGAGGGUUGCUGGAGCUGCUUGGAGCCCGACCACGUUUUCUGCUCAUCGCGCUGAGGAUCUUGUUAUCCAUUCCAGCAGCAAUAUCUAUCAAGCCCGAACCGACCAAGUUUGUUGGCGACAGAAGGUCUUGGCAAGUAGACGCGUUCACCAGAGCAAUUUCCACCUGAAGCAAAGGUCGGUCUUCAAGGUCCUUCACCAAAACCCACGAUUCUGAAAAGACAAACAAGGUUAAAGAACCCAAUAAGUGACAAUUGGAGAAAAAACAUAGGCGAAAAAUGAACGACCUAGGGUGACAAACUGCGUUGGAAGGUAAAUAUCACCACCCAACGAACGAAGUGCUGAACACCACUUUCCCCUAGCAAAGAAGAAUUUGUUCUUCCAAUUUUUGCACGAGGAGGGGAAACCGGUGAUUGGUUUUCUCUUCGCAGAACUGGACAUGAAGUAGUACCAGCCCGCCUCCCUUGGGCUGCUCCGCAGCUGGUACAAAUGCUUCACUUCAACAAGGGAAGGCUCCUCCGACCCGCACCUCUCCCACAACACAAACAUAGCCGAGAGAACCCUCCACCCGUUUGGGUGUAGUUGACCUGGGGCCAGGUGCAUACCCCUCAGUAUCUUGGCAAAAUAACGUUGAAGGGGCAGCCGAGCUCCUAGUUUGAAACUCUCUAAGUGCAUCGUCACAUACCCUCGCGGAGGCCGACUAGGAAUGUCACCCUUCCCAGGAACUACAAGGAGAACCUCCUCAGGAAUGUCGUAGAGGUUCCUAAGCUUGAAUAGGUCAGUGUGGGUGGUAGCACAGGCUAUGUGGUCAAUAGGGUAAGAAUCCGCCUCCACCCUAUGCCCAAGGUUUCUUUUCUUAGGUGGUCGGCUCGGCCCGGAGCUGCUUCUCUCACCAUCACCCACUUCUUCAGGAACCCCAACCCCACCAGAACUGUGGUUCUCACCAGAGCCCGACGCAGGUCCCCCUCUAUUUCCAACAAGCUCUAGGUCAGGGGAAGAUGAAAUGGUCAAAGGACGUGGGUACUCAAGGGUGUCCCUGCCAUGGGAGAAGCCUACGCUACUAGAGGGAUGUAAAAAAUCAGUGGGUACUGCCAAGUUAAGGUCUUAAUCCCCCGUUUCUUCGUCACCCUCAUCGGCAAUCAAUUUCCUUCUCCGAUUUGACAUAUCAGAACCUCAAGAGGAAACCGAAACAAAUCCAAGUAUACGAAUACAAAAAGGGGCAACACAGAACCCAAUCAACAACAACCAAAGAAGAAGUUAAAGGCUGUACCUGGGAUAGACUGGCACUGAUAAUGUCGCUGUGAUGGAGGAAAAACCCCGCAAACGGAAGUCCUAGACGCGGAGAGUAUGAACAAAGUUCGUAAGAGUUGUCUCACAACAGAGAAGCGAAGAGAACAAAACGACGAUGAUUUAAGUCUAGGGAUUUGAAGCGAAAAGGGAAAUGAAAGCAUUUAAGUGAAGGGGAUGCCAGCUCACUCACCGAAUUUCGAGGAUGGAUAGCCCGUCGUUUCAAAUUUCAAAUACGAAGAGUCGGGAAGCGCCACGUCACUAACCGUUACAAGAGGCCAGGCUAGAUGCAGGCCCAGAUAUGCAAUGGACACGCUUAUUAAGGCCCAUGCUCAGGUCAGAAUCUCCCCAGAGGAAAGAUGGUACCGCAGGUCUGUCCCGGUAUAACAGAAGACCAGAUGAGAAGCCCCCGGGCUGGUAAGAUUCGACCAUCAGUUUCUACUCUUAACUCAUUUCACUCGCAAGACCAGAAACUGGGGGACUGGUGUUAAGUAAAUAAAAGCACCAGGUCGGCCAUGCUACUAUUUCCACGCCAGUAUGGAUCACCUCAACCAAAUGGUACGAGCAGAACACGGGGACAAAUAUGGUCCGACCAGAGAUGAGUACCAACCAGGAGAGUAUACCGACCAGAGGUAGAUACCGAGCCGAUACCCAUCCCCCAAAAAAGCGGAAACACGAUCUCACAGAAUCACGGUAGUUGCGCUUUCCCAGAACCGUUGCGGGAGACGCGAGAUCCCACGUUUGCACGUAAUGCAGUAGUUAGAGUCCCAUGAGGGGCUGCCACUACCCGAAAAAGGUGGGAUGAAGGGCAAACGGGAACGUGGGGACAGAGGCUAUAAAAGAAGAAGAAAUCGAUGAAGACAGGGAUAGAAAAAUUAUGAGAGGGAAAACGCUGCCAAAUUACAAUCAGACCUUUUUCUUACAAACUUCGAAACAAGUUAGAAACCCUUCUUGAAUCCAAAUUACACUGUUUUUCCGUAAACACCUUGUGCUAACUUGGGCAUCGGAGGGUUUACGCCGGCAAAACUACCGGCGUCUCUGAUCCAUUUUUGGUGAACGUAGGUCUAGUAAGAGAAAGGAGGGCGAUUCCAACCCCAGUGGUCCGAGCAACAGUUGACAACACAAACGUUGGAGAAAGAAUCUGGUCGGUCAAAAGGCGAGCAGAUUUAAGCAUCAACAAUAACCAACACCAGAAAAGUAGGAACAGUUUCAAACUUUCAACUAAGCAGCAUUUAUUAUUCCACAUCAGCAGUCCUAAACACAUCUUCUAACAAUUGCAACUGUUCAUUUUUGCUUCUGCCAAUAAAGAGUUGAUAGUAACCAAAGAUUAUUGUCUUUAUUGUCAUUUGAGAGUAACCAAUUACUUACGCAGUCACGUAAGUUGCUGGUUGGCCUCGCACAUUUUUGACAAGUUUGUUUCUGAAGGAAAGUAGCUGAGCAGCAACCUCUUCCAUGCUCAUUCGUUCUCUCGGCAACUCUGAAGAGCAAAUGACUCCGAUUCCCAGAACUGAAACCAAGCACUCUUUACCACCAAAACUUCUUGUCUCCCCUUCUUCUCUUUCUACAAGAAGCACUAGAUCAACAAUUUCAGCGAGUCUUUCAGGAAGAGCUUCCUUGAUAAAAUUAUGUAGGGUUAGAUUGCCUGUAAACAUUUCAUUUGUCGGCCUCUUUCCUGUAAACAUUUCCAGCAAGAGUAUUCCAAAACAGUACACAUCUCCACUUGUUGAGACUUCGCUCCCCAUUCCGUACUCUGCAAUUCGAAAACUAAAAUUGUUGGUUCAACUAGUAAAAUCUCAAAGGAUUGAAAGACAAGUUAAUUAAAUAAUAGUAUUUACCUGGAGCAGCAUAACCAACGGUUCCUUUUACUCCAACAGAGCUUGAUUGAUUAGAUGACAAGUUAUUGGUGGCUUCCAGAAGGAAUUUUGCUAAUCCAAAAUCACCUACAUGGGCAGUCAAUUCACCAUCCAGAAGAACAUUGUGUCGGCAUGAGUUGGCAUGAACUGUUGGCAUGUGCUGUCAAUUAUAGAAUUGAUUUUGUAAUUACGUCCAUGAAUCUUUUAGUUGAUCAAUCUUGUUUUUAAAUAUAGAAACAAUUUAUUUCUUCCUUUUUUAGGAUGUAAUUAGCUUCAUAUAUUGCCUCUGAUUUGGAGAAGAAUAUACGAUAGAAUUAUUUUCUGCAUUGAAACCUUUGUUUGUCAUGGUAUCAGAGCAGGUUCCUCAUCAAGAGAAUUUGUGUUGACAACCGAAUAUUUUCUUUUUCCUUUUUUCUCUCGAAAUUCGUAUUCAUAUUCUGAAUAUUCACCGUUGUUGUGAACUCUAUGGCUGAUAUCACAGGCGUAUCAAUGGAUAUUAUCCCACCACCAGCACCACAAGUUGUUGUUCAUCAAGACAACUCGGCAUUUCCAACUGGAAUCACUCUGGAUGAGACCAUCUACUCAUUAUGGUCUCAACUCAUGGAGAUGCGGAUUAGUGCUCGCAACAAAGCUGGUUAUCUUACUGGAGAAACGAAGAAACCAGCACCUGGAGAUCCGAAUCUUGGAUCAUGGAUUACUGAAAAUCAAAGAGUCAAGAGCUGGUUGAUUGACUCAAUGAGUCCAUCGUUGAUGCAACGAUUUAUUCGUCUCCCUACAACCAAAGAUAUAUGGGAGGCUGUAUCGAAAACCUUCUAUGACGGAACCGAUGAAACCUGUAUUUUUGAGCUGAACCAGAGAUCUUUCUCUACCAAACAGGAUGGGCGACCAUUGCCAACGUAUUACAAUGAACUAGUUGCCAUUUUUCAGGAAAUCUAUCAUAGGACUACCACUCAAGAAGGCACAGUCAAAGGGGUGUUACAGCUGCAUUCUGAAUGGCUAGGCUUCGAGUUCAUAUUUUUCUAAGUGGCCUCGACUCAGAGUUUGAACAGGUUCGUGGAGAAAUAUUGCGAAAAGACCCAAAGCUUGAUUUAGAAAGCACAUAUGCUUAUGUUAGAAGGGAUUACCAACAGAGACAAACAAUGGGAGGCUCUCAUUUAAUUUCGGAGAACCUUGCCAUGCUGGCCAGUCAAAACCGAAAUGGAUCUUCGAAAAAUCGAGGCAAUCAAUCGUCCAAUAAAGUUAACAACCUUGUGUGCACUCAUUGCAGAGAAAAAGGUCAUUCACAACAACGCUGCUAUGAAAUCAUUGGCUAUCCAGAUUGGUGGGAUUUCUCAAAGAAGCCCCGUAAGAAAAUAUCUGGGAAGGCUAAUGUGACAGCAGCAAAGGAUGAAAAACAACCAUCCCCUUUAGCAAAUGUUGCCCACCCAGGUAUUAUUGGUAAGGCAUCUGUAUGUUCUGUAACUUCUAAGAAUAGAAUGUGGAUUAUUGAUACAGGUGCAUCUGAGCAUAUGACCAGAGAUUCUGGCCAAUUAAAAUCUGUUCUUCCUUCUUCUCAAUCUGUUAUCUCCACUGCAAACAGUAAUACUUCUCCUAUUAUUGGGGAAGGGUCUAUUACCCUGAGUAAUACUCUUACAUUAGAUACAGUUCUUGUUGUCCCAUCUCUUGAAUAUAAUCUUUUGUCGGUUAGCCAAAUUACCUCCACACUUGCUUGCACUGUAACGUUUUGGCCCACUUUUUGUGUUUUUCAGGACAUCCUAACUCGGAAGAUUCUUGGUUAUGGUGUUAGACGGGGUAAACUCUAUUACUUGGAAUUGACAGAAAAUGAGGGACCAAGUAUCAGUCAGGCAAAUCAAGCUUCUAAUGAAGAUAGAACUUGGGCAAAUGUUUGGUUAUGGCAUCGUAGAUUAAGACACCUUUCUUUUGGUUAUCUCAAAAAAUUACAGCCUCAUCUUUUUUCAACUCUAAAUGGUUUGAAUUUUCAUUGUGACAUUUGUGAGAUGGCUAAAAGCCAUUGUACUUCUUAUUUACCAAGUUUAAAUAAAAGUCUAGAACCUUUUGUGGUGAUUCAUUCUAAUGUUUGGGGUCCUACAAAAGUUGCUUCUCUUUCUAAAGCUCUUUUUUUUUGUGACAUUUAUUGAUGAAUGCACUAGAAUGAUUUGGGUGUCUUUACUUAUCAGAAAAAGCGAUGUAUGUCUAGCCUUUCAAGAAUUUCACAAAAUGGUAAGUACUCAAUAUCAAAAGCAGAUUCGUGAACUUCAAUCUGACAAUGGUACUGAGUAUAUGGAUGCCUCUCUUGGCAAGUUUUUAAACAUUCAUGGAAUUCGUCAUCAGACCUCAUGCACUUACACCCCACAACAAAACGGGCUGGCUGAGAGGAAAAAUAGACAGAUUUUAGAGGUGGUUCGUGCUUCUCUUUUUGGCAUGAACAUGCCUCGGUUUUAUUGGGGAGAAGCUGUAAAAUCUGCAGCUUAUCUCAUUAAUCGAACCCCUUCACGAGUGCUAGAUUUUCAAACUCCCCAACAAAAAAUGCAAUCCUUACUCUCAAUUCCUCAUCUUCCUAAUCUUGAACCCCGAAUAUUUGGUUCUAUUGUUUAUGCUCACAUUCCAAAAAGUUUACGAACUAAACUUGAUCCAUGUGCCAAACGCUGUGUUUUUAUUGGCUAUUCUGAUCUUCAAAAAGGUUAUAGGUGCUAUGAUCCACACACACAAAAAUUACAUGUAACUUUGGAUGUCUCUUUUCAUGAAUUAGAACCUUAUUAUUCAGGGGGAGUCUCUGACCAUUCCCUCCAGGGGGAGAGUUUGUGUGAAGAGAAUGGUCAAAGGGAAAAUGAAGGAGGAGGUGAAUUUGUAGAAUUAGAAGACAUGGUCGAAAAACUUCAAAACGGUGAUGGAAAUGAGGUUCAACAAGGGUGUGAUAACAUGACUGAAACCGAAUGUGAUCCCUCCAAUUUUCUGGACAUGUCCGAAGCACAAUCAAGGCCAUUAGAGCUACCCAUGUCUACACCAUUAACUGAAGAAUUAACCGAAAGUGUUCCUCCUCAGGUAAUUUCAAAUCCAUUGUCUAAUGAGUCUAAUGAACUAUUUUUUUUUGUAGAAGACAUGAAUCCUAGAUAUCCACAAAGGUCAAAUAGAGGAAUUCCAAAGAAACAAUAUGAACCUGAUCCCAAAUCCAAAAUAAAAUACCCAAUCAGUAAUUACAUGUCAUCUCAUAGGUUGUGUGAAUCAUAUGCACUUACUAUUAAUCAAUUAUCCACUAUAUCUAUUCCUAGUAGUGUACAGGAUGCUUUGGAGGAUCCAAAAUGGACUAAGGCGAUAAAUGAAGAGAUGGAAGCUCUACAAAAAAAUGCCACUUGGGAACUGGUUUCACUACUUAAGGGAAGGAAAACAAUUGGAUGUAGAUGGGUAUUCACAGUAAAACUCAGAGCGGAUGGAAGCAUUGAUAGGUAUAAAGCGAGACUAGUGGCAAAGGGAUAUACACAAAGGUAUGGAAUAGAUUACCAAGACACUUUCGCACCAGUAGCCAAGAUAAAUACCAUUCGUAUUAUUAUUUCUAUAGCAGCAAAUCGAGAUUGGCCCUUAAAACAGUUCGAUGUCAAAAAUGCUUUUCUCAAUGGAGAUUUAGAAGAAGAAGUUUACAUGGAGCUACCUCCUGGUGUCAAACAUAGUUCUAUGCGUAGGAAUGAAGUAUGUAAGCUGAAGAAGUCCUUGUACGGACUAAAACAGUCACCUAGGGCAUGGUUUGGGAGGUUUUCAGCGACAAUGAAAGCUGCUGGUUAUAAACAAAGUAAUUCAGACCAUACUUUGUUUAUAAAACACAAAGGCAGAAAAGUGACGGUGUUAAUAGUGUAUGUUGAUGAUAUGGUAUUAACAGGGGAUGAUUUAUCUGAAAUGAAAGCACUACAAGAACAUUUGGCUGCUGAAUUCGAAAUGAAAGAUCUUGGGCAGCUUAAAUACUUCUUAGGGAUUGAGGUAGCAAGAUCGAAAAGUGGAAUUUUUCUUUCACAACGAAAAUACGUGUUAGAUCUCCUCACUGAAACUGGUAUGCUUGAUUGUAAACCAGCUGAAAUGCCUAUAGAGAUGAAUCACAAGCUCGGGAUUUUACCAAAUCAAACUCCAACUGAUAAGGGUCGUUAUCAACGGCUAGUUGGGAGGUUAAUCUAUUUAUCCCACACAAGGCCAGACAUAGCAUAUGCCGUAAGUAUAGUAAGCCAAUUCAUGCAUUCACCAAGUGAAGAACAUAUGGAUGCAGUCUAUCGAAUUCUGAGAUAUUUGAAGUGUGCUCCUGGAAAAGGUUUAUUGUUCGCAAAAAAUAAUGUCUCAAACAUUGAAGGAUAUACGGACUCUGAUUGGGCAGGUGACCAGAUAACAAGAAGAUCGACCUCAGGUUAUUUUACAUUUGUUGAAGGCAAUCUCGUCACUUGGAGAAGCAAGAAGCAGAAGGUUGUGGCAAGAUCAAGCGCUGAAGCGGAAUUUCGUGGAAUGGCACAAGGUGUGUGUGAGAUGUUAUGGAUCAAGAACAUACUAAAAGAUUUGGGGAUUGAUUAUGCAAAACCCAUGAAUCUUAAAUGUGAUAAUAAAGCAGCCAUAGAGAUUGCCCAGAAUCCUGUACAACAUGAUCGCACAAAACAUGUUGAAGUAGAUCGUCAUUUCGUCAAGGAGAAGCUUGACGAGAUUCCGAUGCCUAACACUUCUCAAGGCUUGACACUCCGCCAUGAAACUCUUUGAAGCUCCUCGAUGUUGAAGAUUAAGCACCUUAACUGCCACCAACGUUUCAUGAUCAUCAUGAUUGAGGACUCCUUUAUAGACCGAACCAAAGCUACCGGCAGCAAUCAAGUUUUCCAAAGAAAACCCAUCGGUUGCUUUGAACAUAUUCUCAUAGGACACUCGUAAAACCGAAGCCAAGGAUGCUGAUGGAGGAGUGGCCGGCUCCCUUUUUGAUUUGCUCCGCCGGGAAGUAAUUAUCAAACACGACAUCCCUGUCACUAACAAAAUUAUUGUAAUUACAGGAAUAAUCAGUUUCAGGGAACGGGCACGUGAUUGCUUUGAUUCUUUGAUGGAACAAGUAGAUAAAUGCAAGUCAGAUAUGCCACCACAGAGGUUAUCAUUUCCAUCAAGAGAUAUAGCACUUGAAUUGCUGAAGACUCCUUUUAUUGGUACUUCGCCCUCAAAAUGAUUAAAAGACAGAUUUAAUUUCUGCAAAAAGAGAAAGUUUUCAAAAUAUUUUGGAAUCCGGCCAGACAAAUUGUUCCGCGAAAGAUCAAGCUUCUCAAUGCCUCUCAAAGAACUGAAUGAUGAAGGUAUAUUCCCUUGAAAGAAAUUACCAUUCAUGAUGAGUUGCACCAACAAAAUGCAACUUCCUAUACUACUUGGAAUUUCACCAGACAAUUUGUUCUCAGAUAUAUCUAUAAAACCCAGAUUUUUCAAGAUACCAAAAUUUGAGGGCAAAGGACCAUUCAACUGGUUUUGAGAUAGAUCAAGAUAGAUUGACAAGGAAGAGAGACCAAUUACUUCAGUGGGAAUGGUACCACUUAGGUUGUUAUUAGAGAGAUUUAAGGAUAUUAAGUUUUGGCAUUUCCCUAGACUUGAUGGAAUGCUUCCCUCUAACAAGUUUGCGGAAAAAUCUAGUAUGGUUAACGAUGCCAAAUUUCCUAUAGAAGAUGGAAUUUCCCCCAAAAACUUGUUCCCGUUCAGCCCCGACCCCUGCAGCUUUUGAAGAUAUCCUAUGCUUUCCGGAAUUCGGCCUGUGAAUUGGUUGUCCCCAAGGUCUAAAAGCUCUAAGUUAACAAGAUUUCUUAAUCCACUUGGGAUAUUUCCGAACAAUUGAUUGUUUCCAACUGAUAAUUUUCUAAGUCGGGUUGACAAGUUCCCCACAGCUUCAGGUAACAUUCCGCCACAAUUGGUGUCACUAAUUUGCAGUAGCUCUAGUCUAGAAGCGUUAACCAAAGAAUUGACAAAUUCCAAGUCAUCUUUUUCCCCAUUUCCUAAGGGAUGCUGAGAAAUACUAACCUCUCGGAGUUUAUGUAAAUUUUCCAAACUAGGCACCUUUCCACUGAAUCCAUUCCCUCCGAUUGCAAGUGUCAUUAGAUUUGAGGUAUUGGAUAUGGAAGCAGGAAUAGGUCCAGCAAACUGAUUAUCAGCAACGUUUAAUAGUUCAAGAUUAGGAAGAGUGAAGCCUAAGUCUGAUGGAAAGCUUCCUUGAAGUGGUUAACAGGAAAAUCAAAAACACUAAGCGAAGACAAGUUGUAGAUAGAGACAGGGAUUUCACCUGAUAGCUUAUUUAUUCCAAAUGCUAUAAUACGCAUCCUCUUAAUCUCCCCCAGGGUUUCAGGAAUUUGUCCCACAAAUUGAUUUCGAGCUGCUGAGAGGACUUGGAGUGAUGACAAAUUGCCCAAGGAAGAUGGGAUUUCUCCUGACAAACUGUUUAAGUGUACUACGAGAAUCUGGAGCUUUGAUAAGGAGCCCAGUUUCCCUGGAACUUUCCCCACAAGCUCAUUGGAGCCUAACGAGAGGGAUUCAAGGUUAACGCAAUGCGAUAUGUUGUCGGGAAUUUGACCUCCGAAUGUAUUGUUGCUCAGCCAUAAAAUUCGUAACCUGAACAGAUAUCCAAUCUCUUGAGGGAUUUCGUUUCGGAAGCUAUUGUUUUUUAGAUCUAACACUCUGAGAAAACUUAAAUUACCAAUGUGAGGCGACAGAGACCCCUGCAAGAGUAAAGAUGGAAGAAGUAAUGCAGUCACCCUUUGGUGCCGUGGACUGCAAGUGACACCUUUCCAUUGACAAAAGUGCCUGGAAUAGUUCCAUGAACUCAAAACCUCAAGAGGAUCAUGAGUAACUUUGGCCUUGAAUUGAAGCAAUGCAAGUUGAUCAGUUUCAUUGCUUUUGAGCAUAUAAUCGGUUGACUGCAAGCUGAAGCUGAAGCAACAGAAAAUAAAGAAACAAAUGCUUGCAAUGAUUGAACUCGUCAUGUUUACAAAAUCCAUUUAACGUCCGAAGGAAAUUAAAAUGAUAAAACUUUUAUAGAGGUUGGUAGGAUAAACUAUGUUUGCAUAUUUUUUGCAAUGAUUUAUAGACUCUGUCCCUGAUGCUCAAAUGUGAACCGGCUGGCACCGUGACAAUGAAACUAAUACUUUUUGUUUUUCUAAUAAUAUUAAUUAUCAUAUUUAUUACUAUUGUAAGAACAAUAUAUUCCAGCUUUAAAGAAAGACCCACCGGACUUCCUUUUGAGUCUCGGUCAGUUUCCAGCAUUUUGUCAUUUUUAUUUUAUUUUAGUGCUUAAUCCACAGUAAAUAUAGAACAAUUUAAUCAACAAUAUUGAAAAAGAAGAAAAGUAGGACAAGAGAAAGGUAAAUACGAUGGAUGGAGUGUUAGACUACUGUUAAAUGAGUUGGGAAACGUUCAAAGCACGACGGGAAUUAGAAAAGAAAAAAAGUAGGAUAAGAAAGUUAAGUAUGAUGGAUGGAGGUUCAGAUUAUUGUUAAAUGACUUAGGAAAGACUUAAAGCACCACAGGAAUCAACGUUUCACAAAGCUUUUUUCCCUUUCUGAAAUAUUCGGUGCAGUCACCCCCAGAUUUUGCUAGUGCAACCAAGAGACGUCAUGCCGUUAUCAAUUAUAAACUGUAAAUGACAUGUUGUUUUUACAAGACAUAUUAUGCGUCGAUACAUACCUUUUCUGGUUGUUGGUCUAUAUAAAUAUAUGAGACGGCAUGUGUGUGACAACACUUGUCAUUUGUGUUUACACGGCCUGUCGUUUUCAAAGGAAAAUUUUAUCAUGGUAUUCUUAUCUCCCAGCUGCCGUUUGCCGUUUGGAAUUGUUCUGUACAAGAUCUUGAUCAUCGAAUUUACUACGAGGGCGUAUGUUUUAUUUUCUCGAAUUACAUUGCCGCCUCAUCUUUUGUGUUUUCGGUUCUGUUGUGGAUCGCCUCUGUUUUUGUUGAUAGGCGAUUUUUACCUAAACUAAACCAUUAUUGGUGGCAUGUUGAUCCUAGAAUUAAGGUGUGGAUGGCUCCACUACCGCAUAAAAAGGAGAAAUUGGCCAACUAUUAGGGAGGGGGCAAUAUAAGUUAAAAACAGAGAAGAAGUGGGUGUGGGGGGGGGGGGGGGGGGGGGGGGGGGUGGAUUAUGAACCUUUUCGAUAAUAACUAGAGAACACUAUGCAUGACAUUUUGGAUGUCGAGAAAUUCAUGUUCAACUCACUGUACAGAUCGUGCUCUCUUUCCCCAUCAAAACAAAUUCAAUUGUUGAAGUUGUUUUUCGGCAUCAACAGUUUUGAUGUGUGCUAUGUUUUUAAUAUACAAACAUAAUUUUCUUUAUUCAGAUUGGAGAUCUUUUUCAUCCAACAUAAUUUUAUAUCCCUAGUAUCAAUUCGAUCAUUUGAAUAGCUCUUCAGUUUUAAGUUCUGCAAAAAGAUAGAUCUAAAUUCACCCUCAAAAUGGUUAAAACUUAAAAGAGACUUAAAUUCUGCAUAAAGGGAAAGCACUCAAAUUUUUUGGAAUUUGGCCGGACAAAUUGUUGCGAGAGAAAGAUCAGUUCUUAAAGAACUCAAUGGUCUUUUCCCUUGGAAGAAAAUGAUGAGUUGUUUCAACGUAAUGCAACUACCUAGACUGCAUGGAAUUUCACCAAACAAUGACAAUUUAUUCUCAGAUAGAUCUACCGCACCCACAUUUGUUUAGUCACCCAAAUUUGAAGGCGUCUGUUUUGAGACUGAUCAAAACUUUUUCCAAAAAUUCGGGAUUCAGGUCGAUCAGGCCGGUUAUGUUUUGAAAAACUUGUAAAUUUUCAGUGAUCAAACUUCAAAACUUUGCAAAUAGGUCAAAAUAUGAAAAAUACUUGAUAUAUUAUUGAAUACUCAUUUUCUUUUGCAUUAAUAUAAGGCUGUGGGUGGUAUCUAGUAAUGUUGGUAAAAUUUCUUGAGUUGAAAACAAUAAAACGAAAACAGCUCUAAUAGAUCCACCCCUGUUUGAAACUCACUCAUAUGGAUGGGAAAGAAAUUUAGUUACCAUUGGAUUAAAAAAUUAUUAUUAUUAUUAGAAAAAAAAAAUUGUAAGGCUUCGACAAGAUUUGCUAAUCAUGUAUAGAUUAAAAUUUAUGUGGGUUUGGCCACCAAUUUAGCAUUAGGAACUUAUUGUUUAGGAAGCUAUGGUGGGUUUCGUAGUGGGACUUAUCCUGUUUAAUGCAUUUGGUGAUUUUAAACCAACAUUUAUAUAAUCCCAUUAUAAAACUCAUCAAACCUUCUAAAAUAACAUGUUGAGAUAGUGUGCUAGAUCCAUAUAAAUGUUUCUCCAACUUCUUAGCUUGAAGCAAUAUUCAUUUCCAUUGAUAGUUUAAUGGGCAAAGCCUUAUGAAUUCUCCAUGUUAUCAAGUUAAUUUUUGCUGGAAAAUGCAAUCUGGAUAUGAAUAAAUUUUUUGUGCAAACAAAUUUUCUAUGUUGACACAUCCUCUAGAACUUUCAGUAAAUUUUAUGGAGAAGCUUUAACUUCUUAGCCGUUGAUUUCAAAUAUAUUAAGCUCUUAUUUGGUAUUAAAGUAUCAUGGCCUAAAAGUUAUAGUUCGUAUGGAAAGAAAUUUGUAAUUACGAAAUAAAAAUUGAUAGUGUGAUAAAUAUAAUUUCAGAAUAAAAAAAAACUGAACUUUAAAAUUACAAUAGUAAUUAUAAAGUAUUUACUAAAUAUAUUAGUGUUGCAGUGACUGCCCUACCACAAUGACAAAUAGGGGGCUAAUACUACAAAUUGUUCCAUUAAAAGUCUCCCAAAAAGGAAGAAGUGACUUAAAAAAUUAAAAGAAUGCAGGAGCUGAAGUUGGCAAUUUUGCCUAGUAAAGUCAUCCAUCAGCACUAGCAAUUUCGUAAUAUACAUUAGUGGCAAUUUUGUAAAAUUGAAGUAGUGAUAGUUUUGCAAAUAAAAGUAAAAACUUUUUCCCUAAAUUCGGCUGAGCUAAAAGCCAGCUUAGCCCACACUCUCCUUCGCCACCGGUUGACGAGCUCUUUCUUCAAUUUCUGAACUUGAAGUGAUGCCCCAUCGAUGUCCAGAAUUUUUAAAGUCUCCCCAUUGUACAAGUUAAACAAUAAAGUCAGAAUGAUGUCGGAGUUACAAACAAUCAAAUAUGAUCCUAAUGAUUCUUUUUAGAGAGUCACCUGUACGUUGACGUGUUUAAUUGAUGUUUAUUUAAGCAGAAAUUGAAUUUUGAUCCUGAUUAUUUAGAUGAGAACACACAUUCAUGAGUAAUUACUUAAAAUUAAAUUAAUCAAAAUAGUAUAAAUACAAGAGAAAAUCGAUCAUAUGCGUGCAGACACCACAAACGAAUUAUAUAUAUCACCGCCGCACAUAAAUCUGAUUCCAAUGAUAUAUGAUUAAUUAAUUAAUUUUUUUAAUAACAAUUAAAUUGUAAUGUCAAUUGUCCACAUAAGAUUUUUUUUUUUUGUUGAUGAAAGUUAGUAAUUUUUUUUCCAUCUUUUAAAUAAUAAUUGUUAAUACAAAUCAAAAAGAUAUUAGCACUUGAGAUCAGGGUCUACUUGAGUUAGAAUUUUUUAUUGGAAAAGUUAUUAGCCAGCGAUGAAAAAUAAAGAAGUAACACAAGAUAAAGAGUAAAAUGAGAGAGUAUAUAUUAUAAAAAGAUUUUAUCCAUUUCAAGUGUGUACCAAACAAAGAGAUGAACUCUUCUUUCAUAAUUACAUAAUUAUUACAAGAAAUUAAUGAAAAUAUUAUGGAUUAUAAUUCCUUGCGAGAUAGUGGGAGUUAUAGAAAAGUCAAAAGUUGUUAGUGGAAAAUAAGGGGAGAGUAAAAGAUAUAUGUUAUGAAGGUUUACAUUUAUUUUAAUAAAUUCAUAGUAUUUUUUUCCUUAAAUAAUAGGGUGUGGAGAACAAUUGGAAGGACUUUACGUGUGUGUGUGCCGACCGCGUCUACUCCGAGCUGCUCCAGCUUGUCGAAGCGUUUAUAGUGAACGAUUCCGAAAAUGACGUGGAUAAGGCUUGUCGAGUUAUUCUGCUCAUGUGUCUUUCAAUUGCUGCUCUUUUUUGGUUCACUCAGUGUAACGUGACUGGGUGAGUUUCUUAUUUAUAAAUUUUUAAAUAAUUGCAAUUAAUAUAAUAAAUAUUAGUAAAAAAUUAAAAAAAAAAGGUUUAGUGAUGAACGUUUGAACUUGAAUUAAUAGAGGCCUUUAGUUGAUAAUUCGCCAAAGUGUUGGUUUCCACUAGAAGUUUCAACUUUAGAAGGCAACGAAUUGAUAGAGUGGGAGAAUUGGGCGCGUUAUCAGCUCAUGUCUGUUGGCUCUGACUUGCUGGGAAAGUUCUCCUAUCUUCAGGUACUCAGUCUAUCGAAAAAUGAAUAGAUUCUAUUGCUUAGACAGUGUUAAUGUUAAUAUUAUCUUUUUUAACUUAUUUUACAUUUUGUGAUCUUUUUGUAGUAUAUAGUUUUUGCCAAAAUGUUGAUCAUGAAGACAAAAGAUUUGCUGUCUGAUGCAACUGUGUUGCCUGUGAAUGGGAUUGGAACCAUUUCAUGGUGGCUCACAAGACUCCUACUUAUGGAUCAAAGGAUUUUAGACGAGCAGUCGUCUUCUUUGUAUGAUCUAUUGAAAGUUUUUAUGGCUGAGACUUUACAAAAUUUUGGCACUUUGGUAAAUGUUAGUACUUAUUGGGGCAACCAGUUGCAUGAUAUCGAUCCUUCAGAGAUUGUUUCAACAUUUCAUUUAGAAGCAGGACUGUUAGAACACAUUUACAGGAGAGUUGAUUCUUGCAGGUGAGUUAUCCUGGGAAAGUUUUAUAUUCGAUGGUCUUAUUUCUGGCUUCAUUAGAAAAGUUUUCUCUUGGAAACAUGUUAUUUCCAACAUGGAACUUGCCUGUAGAACUCUCUCCGUCAUCGAAAAUGAUUUUGUGCAUUGUGUGUCAGGGAGAUGCAAGAACAAAGUUUUAUGUUUGGACUUCAUCAAAAUCUCCCUUUUUUUAAUGUUUAUUGUUUCAAUCAUCAAACAUUAGUUUGAGUUGUUAGCAGUGGAAUUUGCAUUAACUGAUUACUAACUUCCAUCAUUACCUUACUAUAGGACUUCUUCUAUAGUUUCUGCUGAUUUCUAAAAUGCUUUAUGGUAUCAGGAAACAUUUUGAAUCAGCUGAAGUGGCAGCUGGUCUCCAGCUUUCAGUUACUGGGGUUCUUGGUUUCCGUACUGUCCGUCAGGUAAAGAUUGAAUGUGCAUCAUUUAUAAAGUUGUCAGGAUCUUCCUUCUUAGCUUUGAGAUUGCUCCUGCAUAUAGGUAGAACCAAAGGCAAAAAUGGUACUUGUUGCAAACACAAGCUCAACCAACACUUCUGAUGUCUGCCCUUCAAUAAACCAAGUCAUUCAUACACAUGAUUCUACUAUUGGUGAUGCCUCUGAUGUUUUUGUGACCCCAAAAUUAUUGGGGAAUAGUCAUGAAUCUGAAUCUGGAGUCCAAUGCAUUCACGCUGGUGGCUCAGCAGCCCAUUUAAAGGCAAUCCAACAGGCAGUGAUCUUGUCGAGGUGCGUUCUAAUAGAAAAGAGCUCACGGGAAGAUGAAAUGCAAAGUAAGUUGUUUUAUGGUUGGGCGGUGUGUAGUCCUCUUGUUAAAGGCCAUAAGAUGUUAAGCAUAUUGCUAUUUAAUUUUUAAAUCAUUCUCAGUAAUAAUUCCUUUAGUAGAUUGAUGAUAAGAGAUUGCAUUACAGAUGAUAACUGAGCACAAUUUCUGUAGUUGUAUCCCUGUACAUCCAUCUUAAUAUCCUCAUUAUAUUCACAUGCCUUUCACGGGUGUUAUUUCUGGAUGCUGAAUGCUUUGUUCCACUUUUGGAAACCAAAUGCGUUGUUACACAAAGCUGAGCUGGUUGAAAAGCUAGCUGAUGAGGUCAACAUGUCCCUUAAGUAAUUUGAGGAUGAACACUGUGUUCCCGAAAGUCUUACUCUAAUGAUACUUAAAGAAGCAAUGAGACUGGAUGUUGCAGCAGCUUUGCUGAACUCAACCCCAGUUCCAAAAAUGGAACAUGUGAAAACCGAAAAUGCAUUGUUCUUUUUUUUCCUCUUUAUGACUUCUCUAGUUGGGGAAUGUAUUAGAUAUUCACCUAAUCAGUAGGCCUUGAAGGGAUCCCAUGUUAGCCCCUUGAUGUUGGUCUGUAACUAAGUAAAUACUUGACCUUGAAAAAGCUUUUGGAGGCAUCAGUUUCUCUCUGACUGUGUGCUACUUUUUGGAUCUGUUGAUUUGGUCAUUUGCUGAUUUAUAGUUAUUUUUCUGAUUCAGGAUGGGAUAUGGCUCCAUACAUAGAGGCAAUUGAUUCACAGCAGUCGUCAUGCUUCAUUGUAAGUAUAUAUACAAUACAGCAUCAGGUUUUCUUGAUUUUAAAUCUCAUAUUCUGAAGUGGUACUUCUGAUUCUCACAUGAUUUUUCCAUCUUUCAGCUAAAGUUUUUCUGUGAUCUCUUACGUAUUAGAUGGGAGUCCACCCGUAGUCGCACAAAAGGGCGUGCUUUAGAGAUGAUGGACAAACUGGUAUGAUCUGUGAGCCUUUUCUUCUUAAAUAUUUUGUUACCUAAACCAUUUUCAUUCAAAUUGACAAGAGUUGCUUAUCGAUCUAUAGAAGAUUCCAAACUUUCUGCAGCUAGUACUUUAUUGGACCCAAAAGCUUUUUUGCUUUUUCUAAGCUGCUAAUCAAGACUAGGUUUCUCUCCCUUAUAUCGCUAGAUAUGCCAUUAAUCGUUUGAUUUAAUUGUCUAGAGAGAUUAGGUACUUGCAUCUUUGCUUUUCACUUCAUAAGUGAUUUCAUAUGCUAUCCUGUAUUCUGGUUCAAGAUUUUUGAAGGUUGCUUACCAUCAUAUUUUGCUUUGUUUCAGGUUGAGGGCAUUUCUAAUUCUUCUCCCGGUGUGACUCAAAGGAUUCCCUUUUGUUAUGUGAUUUACGUUCCAACUAUUCCUGCCCUGCGAAAGUAAAACUAUUUCUUCUGCAUCUUUGAAUGAUUGUGAUUUAAUUUUCUUGUCAUUUUGCCAACUAUCAUUACGCUGUCAUUGUUUCAUAUCUUAGUUGACAUAUGUUGACUUGGUUAGAGUUUAAUUGCUCUGUUUAUUCUCUUCAUAAUCUGUCUAUUUCGAUUUUUCUUGAUUUUAGGGAAUUUGCUGAACUUUUAGUAAGCUGUGGCUUGAUUGGAGAGGCUAUUAAAAUUUUUGAGGAUCUGGAGUUGUGCGAUAAUCUAAUAUACUGCAACUGGUAUGGUGUCAUAGAUAACCAUUAUCCUAAUCUCUCUCUCUCUCUCUCUCUCUCUCGUGUUGCUAAUGGGAGUUGGUUUUGUGUAUGAUGUAAAAAACAGCCUAUUGGGCAAGAAAGCAGCAGCUUUUGAACUAAUAAAAGCAAGGCUGUCUGAAAAGCCUAAUGACCCUAGAUUAUGGUUUAUUGAUGAACCUUUUCUAUGAUCCAUUUUAUAGUUACUUCUCAUUUCAGUUAUAUCCAUUGUUGAUGUCACUUAUUGCAAUCUAGGGAUAAUUGUUCAUUGGAUGUGAGGAUAUUGUCAGAAGAAAAUGAAACCUUUUAAUUUUAUCUUUUACUUGCUGUAUCCGAUUUAAAAGCUUACUGUGCGUUCUUACUGAUUGCUUUUGGUCUUGCAUUUGAGUCAAUGUAUUUUAUACUCAUAUUCUGACAUUUAUUGUUAGUCUUCUGACGGUUCUGCACCUUGGUCCUAUAUUAUCUUCAGCAGUAUUAUCUAAAAAAUAAGUUUUUGCCGAAUAUUUGCAUUCUAAACUAGAAAAGGAGGGGCGCCCGGCGGGGGGGG
rnacentral:lncRNA from 1 species